rnacentral:rRNA from 1 species
AUUGAACGCUGGCGGCAGGCCUAACACAUGCAAGUCGAACGAGUGGCGGACGGGUGAGUAAUGUCUGGGAAACUGCCUGAUGGAGGGGGAUAACUACUGGAAACGGUAGCUAAUACCGCAUACCAUCGGAUGUGCCCAGAUGGGAUUAGCUUGUAGGUGAGGUAACGGCUCACCUAGGCGACGAUCCCUAGCUGGUCUGAGAGGAUGACCAGCCACACGGGAACUGAGACACGGUCCAGACUCCUACGAGAUGCAGCAGGUGGGAAUAUGGCACAAUGGGCGCAAGCCUGAUGGAGCCAUGCCGCGUGUAUGAAGAAGGCCGUCGGGUUGUAAAGUACUUUCAGCGGGGAGGCGUUACCCGCAGAAGAAGCACCGUCUAACUCCGUGCCAGCAGCCGCGGUAAUAC